UGCAAGUCGAGCGGAGACAGUGAGUAGCUUGCUAUGAGCUGUUUUAGCGGCGGACGGGUGAGUAACGCGUGAGCAACCUUUCCCAGACAGGGGAAUAACACACCGAAAGGUGUACUAAUACCGCAUAAGACCACGGGAUCACAUGGUUCUGAGGUAAAAGAUUUAUCGGUUUGGGGUGGGCUCGCGUCCGAUUAGGUAGUUGGUGAGGUAACGGCCCACCAAGCCGACGAUCGGUAGCCGACCUGAGAGGGUGAUCGGCCACAUUGGGACUGAGACACGGCCCAAACUCCUACGGGAGGCAGCAGUGGGGAAUAUUGGGCAAUGGAGGAAACUCUGACCCAGCAACGCCGCGUGGAGGAAGAAGGUUUUCGGAUCGUAAACUCCUGUCCUUGGAGACGAGUAGAAGACGGUAUCCAAGGAGGAAGCCCCGGCUAACUACGUGCCAGCAGCCGCGGUAAUACGUAGGGGGCAAGCGUUGUCCGGAAUAAUUGGGCGUAAAGGGCGCGUAGGCGGCUCGGUAAGUCUGGAGUGAAAGUCCUGCUUUUAAGGUGGGAAUUGCUUUGGAUACUGUCGGGCUUGAGUGCAGGAGAGGUUAGUGGAAUUCCCAGUG
rnacentral:rRNA from 1 species